GCCGCUGCGCCUCCGGACACUCCAUCAGGAAGAAGCGCAGUCCGGGGAUACGUAUUUUCUGGGACCCAACCUCGGGAGCGUUGCUUGUGGAGAUGUUGCUGAGCUUCCCGAACGCCGCCGCGCCGCCCCGGAGCCAGUGGGCCCAGCUCCGCCCCGCCGGCCUGACGUGCCCAGGACAUGCUCUAGGAGCGGGCGGGCCAGGGAGAUGAGGGCGAGGGCCGGGGGCGGGGCGGGGCGGGGCGGGCGGCCCAGGCCCGGGGCUGACUUGGGGGCCGUCCCCCUCCGCCGCGCCCAGCGGGUCACCGGGGAGUGACGAGCACGGUUGCCGUUCCCGAGCGUAAGGCUCACGGUCGCUAGGGAGCCGAGCUGCGGCCGCUCGCCAGUAACCACCGUCUGCGGGGCACGAGGAGUUUCUGAGCCGCUGCCCCCGUGGCUCCCGUCCGCCUGUCCCCGCAGGACGUCGUUCUGUCCGGCUCGAAGGGGGCGGUCUGCCGUUUAGACCGCGAACGUUAAAAUUAGCCUGUUAACCUCUUUGACUCUGCUCCCGACUCCGUGACCGUGCAGUGCUGCUCCACGCAGAGUCCAGCGCGAUCCCGAUGGGCCGGUGUCGUGAGGCCCGGGCCUUUCCAAGUGUCUGUGGAGCUGGGGCGGCACCGUUGGAAAGGAUGCUGUGACCUCAAGGGGUACGAAGGACACGGUGGAACCCGCCACGAGAGACCCACACAGGGCCUAGGACUAUGGUGUCUGCACCUCCAGGAGGACUCGCUGAUGUUUCAGUAAAAACGUGGACAUGGCACCUCAGGAGCAAAGGAGAAAGGUGCUCGAAUACCAGCGACAAGGGAACCAGAAGAUGAGUUCCAGAAACUGUUGCUGAACACAAACCGUGCUGGGUUGUGUUCUGAAAAUUUGGCCUGGGCUAAAGCAUCACCAGACCCUAGGAUUGCCGUAGACCAACAGUCCCCACUGGAGAAAAAACUCCUGAACCUAGGUGGUGUGCAUAGCACGGCAGCACGGCAGCUGAUAACCCAGAAGUACCAGGAGGAAUACGAAGCACUGUGCAGGGAGCAGGCUCUGUCUCUCGACUACUGGCUUGCCAAGGCAGAGUCCUAUUACAAUAAGAGGAUAGUGGAUAUGAUGAAAGAACAAGACACAGGCCAUGAAAAGAAAUUGGAGGGAAGGAUGACCCAAAACCUAGAGAAACUGAAGCGGUAUUACUUGGUUCCUGACCGGGAGUUGAAGCACAUAGAGAGGCACAUACACCGCGUGGGGCAGGUCAGAGAGCUCAAGAACAAAGCAGGCCGGCACCUACCACGGCCUAGUGAAACAAAGUUCCCGAGGAUCCUGCCAGAAGAGCGUGGUGUCCUGGGCACACAGAGGAGGAAGCAGGUAAGCGAGCGGGAGCAGAUACAGAUCAAAGAUCACCAGCAGCGCAUGCUCCAGGGAAGAGAGGUCCUGGAGCAGAGGCUCCAGGAAGGAGUCCUGAGACAAGGCCGGAGCCAGAGGCCCACACGUGACCGGUGUGCAAGAGCCGAGAAAGAAACCAAAGAGUUUGAAAGUGUUACCGUAUACCCUCUCUUCCAACCAUGCAGUCAGAGUCGGAUUAAAGUGAACAUUCUCAUGGAAAAGAAUAGAGAGGAAGCCAUUACCAUUAUAAAACCACAUCAAAGAAAAUUCUUAACGAUGCCGCCCUUUCUGCGAAGCCAAAUAGGAAAAAUAAAAGACUAGUAAAGUUUCAGUGCGUUUGUAAUAAAAUCACGUGUCUUAAGUGAA